AGAUUAUAAAUACCGACAGCCCCCUUGACUCACUCUCAGUCCGCAAGCAUAUUUAAUUCAGUAAGAGUGGUAACUUUGUCCGAGCGUCUGAACACAAUGCUGCAGUGCUAUCCAGAACUGAGAGGCGUGGUUCUUUUCAUCGAAUUGCUGUGUUGACGUUAUUGUACAGAGUGGGCACUUUCUCAGUCUCUGAACACAAUGCUGCUAUCCAGAACUGAGCAAAGGUGGUGUUCUUUUUGCAUUUCCCUGAAGAUGAAUUGUGUACCCAGUGAUCCUAUAAUGCACAGGAACACACUUGAGAAGGUUUCUGGUUGCAUCUAGAAAUGAUAUUGAAGGAGUGGGGCAUCCUGAUUUUUAAAAGCAUGUUUUUGAGGUUACUUUUAAACAUGGACCUUUCUGGUUCUCGGCUGGACUUCUAGCUUGGUGCAGAUCAAAUGCUCUACUCCCCGGUGCCAGUGAUGACUCUCUAUUUGCUACUCUUGACCUACAAGGAUGAUGAGACCUGCAACCACCAUUUGCAUGGGUGAACAAAGAUGAAGACUUCAUCACAGUUGUCUGCUAAACCCAGCCCUUGAAGUAAAUCCAUAUGGUGCCUGAUGCCUUGCAAGCUGGUGGUCAACUCUAAUGCCAUUUACCAAGAAGCAAAGGGGUGCGGUGCUGGUCUGUAGUCUUCCUGAUUUGCUGCUUGAUGGUGAACUUGCAGUGUGUAUUCAGUUCAAAUGGCUGGCCUGCCUUGACUCUGGGGUACUCUGGAACCAAAGGUUACUCUGGGCCUGUAAUUGUGCCAACCGCAGGUACCAUUGUGUAACCCCAAUACCAGGAUAAAGAUCAUGUUGGAGUGGCUGAAGUUAUUCUCUGGUGUAAGCUGAGCCUUUAAGGUAUCUUCUGGACACCGGGUGCAACAGUAGAUUAACUGGUUGGAGUGCCGUCUUCAAAACUUUAAGUACUUUGUUCUGUAUUUUAACUGUUUGCAUUAAAAGGAGAUCAAUACAUUUGAAUAA